AUGGAGCAAGAUUCUCAGAAGUGGUCGAUGUUACUCCAUUUGAAUCAGUGGGCUCCCCUUGAAUAUUUGGGAAUGUCGUACUCCAGUCAAAUCAGUCUCUGUGAUUGCACUGUAUAUACAAAUAAUUCAGUACAACGCUGGGUAUUGGGUGUCUCUGCAAGUAUAAGUACUGAUGCAUGGUUCAGCUUGAGAUUCCUUGGAACAGACUGUAGGCUAAUUGAUACUGAUACACAUGCAAGACGUUGGAUUUAUUUGGAUUUCAGCAACAUUGGAUUUCAGGGCCGUCAGUCCUAUUCAUGCUCUAUAUUGCACCUGAUGGCAGAAGCUGAAUAUUUUGCCCAUUGGAUUAUCAUUUAUAAGUUCUAUCGAGAGGCACUUACUCUAGCAAGGGAGUUAUGGCAUACACACCAAUUCAGAUUUUUCAGUGUCACUUUUGUUCAUCUUGUACAGUGGCACAACAUGCUUCUUGCUCAUGGAUCAGUACUCUGCACAGUGCAUAAAAGGGUGCUACAGAUUGUGGAAGAAUUAAGGGACCUCAUACCUACAAUAUUGCUUAGGAACAAUGGUUCAAAAAAUUCAGUUGCGGAGCUCACAUAUAGUACAAGUAUAUGGAAUCGAGACGGCUGCAACUUUGUGAUUUGGACGACGCCCAUCAAUGAAGAGUCGACUUCAACUGUAAUUCCACCUGUGAGAAGUUAUUUCAAUGAGUUUACAAGUUCUCGUUCACUGAUGCAUUCAGUACAUGCAUUCAGUUAUAGCAUGCCAAGUGCGACAACUCUCAAAUGGGCUACAAAAUUCGAAGCUCUUAUUCUGGGCAAGCUGUCUCAGAUCUUUUGUUCGCAAUUAGUCCAACUAAAACACCGAUGGCCUUUCUCUGUUGCAGCCAUGUCCAUUCAGCAACUCUUAUUUCGCAUGAAGACUAGUACUGAAUCUGUGACACUACUGAAGAUUUAUUCAAUAAUGUUUCAAGAUUGGAUUGCUCAUUUCCUUGGCCGUACUUCAGCUAGUGGCUAUCACCUUGGGCAGUUGUGGGAUCCCAGAGGCCUUGCAAUUAAUCUAUGCAGUACACGUGCACUGACAUUCCCAAUACAAUAUCUGAUUGAGUUCUGGAGUGCAUGUGUGCUUUAUGUAUGCACGCAAAUGAGACUGGAGAAGCCAAUGACCAGAGAUGAACUCAAUCAGUGGAUGGCCAUAAUUUUCUUCUUUGGAACAUUGAGGUUUGAUUGCAGCCUUGACACGUUGCUAGUGCUACUGGGGUUCUUGCCACCAUUUUGUUGCCAGUCAAGCAAGUCCACGAGGAGUGGGAAAAUCUGUGUGUUUGGCGCAUCUGAUGAUCUAGGGAGCUUCAUGGUUGUCCAGGGAGACUAUUGGUUUUCAGCUUCAAAUCAUGAAAAAUCAAGGGAGGGGUUUCAUCAGUGUCGCUGCCCUCUUCAUGCAAGGCAUCGUCGACCACAAGUUUUACCUCGGCCUCGACCAAGUUCCGCAUGGCAGCGCCUCAGCCACGACCGCUUCUCCAAGUUCGUUCAAGUCCACCUCGAUAAUUGCUACUUCCGUGACAAAUACCAUGAAGAAUCUGACACGAUCAAGGAUCUUCAAGCACCCUAG
rnacentral:rRNA from 1 species